CCUACGGGAGGCAGCAGUGGGGAAUAUUGGACAAUGGGCGAAACCCUGAUGCAGCCAUGCCGCGUGUAUGAAGAAGGCCUUCGGGUUGUAAAGCACUUUCAGUAGGGAGGAAAGGGUGUAGUUUAAUACGCUAUAUCUGUGACGUUACCUACAGAAGAAGGACCGGCUAACUCCGUGCCAGCAGCCGCGGUAAUA
rnacentral:rRNA from 1 species